AUUGAACGCUGGCGGCAGGCCUAACACAUGCAAGUCGAACGAGUGGCGGACUGGUGAGUAAUGUCUGGGAAACUGCCCGAUGGCGGGGGCUAACUACUGGAAACGGUAGCUAAUACCGCAUACCAUCGGAUGUGCCCAGAUGGGAUUAGCUAGUAGGUGGGGUAACGGCUCACCUAGGCGACGAUCCCUAGCUGGUCUGAGAGGAUGACCGGCGACACGGGGACUGAGACACGGUCCAGACGCCUACGGGAGGCAGCAGUGGGGAAUAUUGCACAAUGGGCGAGAGCAUGAUGCAGGCAUGCCGCGUGUAUGAAGAAGGCCUUCGGGUUGUAAAGUACUUUCAGCGAGGAGGCGGUACUCGCAGAAGAAGCACCGGCUAACUCCGUGCCAGCAGCCGCGGUAAUUC
rnacentral:rRNA from 1 species